UACAUUUAAGUAUUUAUGUACAAGAAUUUUUGAUAUUCUAAGUAAUAGGGAAAUCUAUUAAGUGUAG
rnacentral:tRNA from 1 species